AUGAAUUUUCAUAACCAAAGUGUGCAAGAAUUUUAUAGAUUAUAGUUCUGCCAUAGUGUCAUUAUGAUGUAGUUAAUUUAGAGGGUUUAAGAAAAGAAGGUAAAAAGAAAACCAAAAAAUGAAAAAUAAGUUGCAAGGGCACAAAAAUAAAUCUAGUUCAAUAUUAUUUCAAGUUUUUACUGAGGUUUUUUGCAAAUUCUUUUGGAUCUGAAAUCAAUUCAAUCAAAAAUGUGACUUACGUAAUAGGAUGAAACAAGAACUUUGAAGAAGUUCGGGAAACUUCAAAAUGGACGUUUUAGCAAAGAAUGAAACAUUGUUUCAAGAGCAAGAAAAGAAUGGCUGUGGACGAUAUAAUAUAAUUUGACGACAACCAAGAAGAAUAUACCCAUAAGCUUACCUGGAUUUGAACAUCAUGGGAUCAUAUUAUUUUCUCGUAAAACUAGGGAAAAUAAAUGUAUAAUUAAAAAAUCUAUGCAUCUACACGAAGUUUCGUAUAAUUAAAAACUAAAUUUGAUAUUUAAAAUAAUUUAUUUAUACAUUAAUAUAUGAAGAAAAAUAACGUCUUUAAUGAACAACUUUUAAUUAUUAUUAAAACAAAAGAUAAAAAAAAAUAACAAAAAUAAUAAAAUUUGAUCUACAUAUAUUUAUGCCA